rnacentral:rRNA from 1 species
ACGGGAGGCAGCAGUGAGGAAUAUUGGUCAAUGGGCGGAAGCCUGAACCAGCCAUGCCGCGUGAGGGACGAAUGCCCUAUGGGUUGUAAACCUCUUUUGCCGCAGAGUAAUAAGGGUCCUGCGGGGCCCGAUGAGAGUAUGCGGCGAAUAAGCAUCGGCUAACUCCGUGCCAGCAGCCGCGGUAAUACGAGGGGUGCAAGCGUUGUUCGGAAUCACUGGGCGUAAAGGGAGCGUAGGCGGAGACGCAAGCAGUCUGUACAAUACCGGGGCCCAACCCCGGACCUGCAGACUGGACUGUGUCUCUUGGAUAGUUCAGGGGCAGGCGGAAUUCCUGGUGUAGCGGUGGAAUGCGUAGAGAUCAGGAAGAACACCGAUGGCGAAGGCAGCCUGCUGGGGACUCAUCGACGCUGAGGCUCGAAAGUGCGGGUAGCAAACAGGAUUAGAUACCCUGGUA